CCACUCACUCCUCCUCAGCCUCCAGCGCCACCUCGUAUCUCCUCAAUCCCGACAUGUCCUGGGUUCCGAACGUCUCCUGGGGAGCGGCAUGAUUGGAUCAAGGAUUCCCCAAUCCCGGAUCCCCUUCUCUGUCAUUCUCUGGACCAGUCUGACUUGUUCUCGGGAGGUGGAUCAACUCAGAGAGGUGGUAUGUGUGGUAGCUAAGAGUCAGAUUCUGGAGCCCGUCUGCCCAGCCAGGACCCCCAGCUCUGCCACUUUACCGGCCAUCCAGCCUGGUACACGGGCCUCUCACUGUUGUGGCUUCUCCCGUUGCGGAGCACAGGCUCUGGAUGCGCAGGCUCAGCGGCCAUGGCUCGCGGGACUAGCCGCUCCGCGGCAUGUGGGAUCUUCCCGGACCGGGGCACGAACCCAUGUCCCCUGCAUCGGCAGGCAGACUCUCAACCACUGCGCCACCAGGGGAGCCCCAAGCUGACAGUUUUGAAUGAGGCCCAGAGCAAGGAAGGGGUCUGCAGCAGGUCUAGGCUCUGGGGAAAAGUUGCCUGUCUACUUGGGCCUUAUGACUCACAAAUCCAGGGAAUUUCAGAUUGUCUGUGGCAGAGAAGGGUGCGACAGGAACCCCAGAAGGAGCAUUACAGGAAAGACCCUUAGGGUGUUGGAGUAAGGACAUACCUCUUCUGCUAACGAUUAUUUACUCUUUGAAAAUCAGUCCUGAUUUGCCACUGGGCCCUGGUUUAAAACUCAGACUAUAGAUCACCCAGUGACCACACAACCUAGGGUGUUAUCUAUAGCAAGUCAUAUAGUUGGAUGUGCAUGGCCAGCGUUCCACUUCAAAGGAACAUUGUACAUUUGAGACCAGGCCUUAGAAAUUUCAGAAGGCAUGAGUAAAAGUGUGGGGAGGUGACUCAGAUUCCUACUUUUAUUGUUUUCUGCUUCUUCUUCUGAUUAUACUUACGCCUUCAUGGAGAAGUUUUCUAUAAACAGUUAACAGAGA